rnacentral:rRNA from 1 species
CCUACGGGAGGCAGCAGUGGGGAAUAUUGGGCAAUGGGCGCAAGCCUGACCCAGCAACGCCGCGUGAAGGAAGAAGGCUUUCGGGGUGUAAACUUCUUUUGUCAGGGAAGAGUAGAAGACGGUACCUGACGAAUAAGCCACGGCUAACUACGUGCCAGCAGCCGCGGUAAGAGGUAGGUGGCAAGCGUUGUCCGGAUUUACUGGGUGUAAAGGGCGUGUAUGCGGGGUGACAAGUCAGUUGUGAAAUACUGCGGCUUAACCGCCGUACUGCAUUGGAAACUGUUGAUCUUGAGUACUGGAGAGGCAGGCGGAAUGCCUAGUGUAGCGGUGAAAUGCGUAGAUAUUAGGAGGAACACCAGUGGCGAAGGCGGUCUGCUGGACAGCAACUGACGGUGAGGCGCGAAAGCGUGGGGAGCAAACAGGAUUAGAUACCCCAGUAGUC